GAUGAACGCUAGCGACAGGCCUAACACAUGCAAGUCGAGGGGCAGCAUAAAGGUAGCAAUACUUUGGUGGCGACCGGCGCACGGGUGAGUAACACGUAUGCAACCUACCUGUAAGAGGGGAAUAACCCGGAGAAAUUCGGACUAAUACCGCAUAAUACUGAUUAUCUGCAUGGAUUGAUCAGUUAAACAUUUAUGGCUUACAGAUGGGCAUGCGUAUGAUUAGAUAGUUGGUAGGGUAACGGCCUACCAAGUCAACGAUCAUUAGGGGUUCUGAGAGGAAGGUCCCCCACACUGGUACUGAGACACGGACCAGACUCCUACGGGAGGCAGCAGUGAGGAAUAUUGGUCAAUGGGCGAGAGCCUGAACCAGCCAAAGUCGCGUGAAGGAAGAAGGUUCUAUGGAUUGUAAAACUUCUUUUGUAAAGGGAAUAAAAAGAGUUACGUGUAACUUAUUGUAUGUACUUUACGAAUAAGGAUCGGCUAACUCCGUGCCAGCAGCCGCGGUAAUAACG
rnacentral:rRNA from 1 species